CGACCCUUAACGCGUUAUCUUGAUCCACAAUUGAAAACGAAGGACAGAGGAAGGACGAAUGUACGGUUACUAAUAAUACUUUCCUAGACAAAAUCGAACUAGAAACCCUAAUAGUUUAUAAGGAAUGGAGUGAAACUCAAAAUAUUGUCUCCCUGAAGAAGUUUGGCUACCGCUGUUUCAGGUACAAUGGAUAAUUUAUCUGUAGGAGAAGUGGAUAAAAUGCCACUGGUACCACAUUCUACACCACUGAUCAAACCAAAUGGACCUUAUGAUGUUCGGUCAACGUUUAUUUGUUCCAUCAGACUGUCUGUCAAACGAUUGUAUAAACUGUUAAUCGAAAAAAAAACUUUCUCGUGAAUUGAAUAUACUGAAUAUUUGCUUAUCCAACAGCAAAGUAAGCAUUGCCUCUCGAGUAAAUAUCCCAUCUAGCAAGGUACAGUUUUUGUUAUUUGUUUUUGUACUUUUCCGUUUUCCUCUAAAGUUGUUGUGACUUUUUUUAUUCUGUUAGCAGAUUAGUGUUAUAGUGCCCACCCCCGCCAAUGAACCAAUAUCCUUUGGGGUCGGUCACAAAACUCUUAUGUAUGGCCUGGGGGUAAUGAUACCAGGCAAGGAAAUUCAUCGUAUUGUUCUUUCUUACAUAGCGGAGGAUGACGUGUUGAAGCUUGAGGAUGGCCGAACUGAUGUGUGCAUCGACACAGUCCCUUGUACCAAAAAAGCAAAGGCAACCAUCGACACAGUCCCUUGUACCAAAGAAGGAAAGGCGUCCAUCGACACAGUCCCUUGUACCAAAGAAGGAAAGGCUUCCAUCAAUACAAUCACUUGUACCAAAAAAGGAAGUAAGCUAGUCACUUGUACCAAAAAAGGAAAGAAGCUAGUCUCUUGUACCCAAAAAGGAAAGGCAUCCAUCGAUACAGUCCCUUGUACCAAAGAAGGAAAGACAUCCAUCGAUAUAGUCCCUUAUACUAAAGAAGGAAAGGUGUCGAUCGAUACAGAAAUAAGCUAGUCACUUGGUCAUCUUAAUUGAACAACUCAUCUGGAUGCUGCAAAUCAUCUAUGUUGAUUCCUUGGAGAAGAAGUUAAAUUAUUUCUGUAGGCAAAAAAGGUUUCCUAUUAUAAUAUUUGCAAGUUUGUGUUUUAGGGGUUUACAGUUGUGUGGUUAACAGUAGUCUGACCUAUUUAAGAACUUUUAUUUACAAAAUUCAGUGUUUCAGCAUUUGCAUAAUUAUCCUUGUAAUACCUUUUAAGAGCAACCACAACUACAACCCAUCUUUAAUCUCUAAUGAUAUCAGCCUUUUUCUUUA